GACUACAGGGGUAUCUAAUCCUGUUUGCUCCCCACGCUUUCGUGCCUCAGCGUCAAUAAAGGCCCAGCAGGCUGCCUUCGCAAUCGGUGUUCUAUGGCAUAUCUAUGCAUUUCACCGCUACAUGCCACAUUCCGCCUGCCUUAACCCCAUUCAAGUUCUGCAGUAUCAAUCGCAAUUGCAUAGGUUAAGCCUAGCGAUUUCACGACUGACUUACAAAGCCGCCUACGCACCCUUUAAACCCAGUGAUUCCGGAUAACGCUUGCACCCUCCGUAUUACCGCGGCUGCUGGCACGGAGUUAGCCGGUGCUUAUUCUGACGGUACCCUCAAGCCUCGACAAGUCGAAGUUAUUGUUCCCGUCCAAAAGAAGUUUACAACGCUGAGCGCCUUCAUCCUUCACGCGGCAUGGCUGGAUCAGGCUUGCGCCCAUUGUCCAAUAUUCCUUACUGCAGCCCCCCGUAGG
rnacentral:rRNA from 1 species